CAACCCUCGAGCCCCUCCGGGGGGUCGGCGUUGGGGAUCGGCCCUUCACGGGGCCGGCCCCGAAACACAGUGGCGGUCUCGCCGCAGCCUCCCCUGCGCAGUAGUUUGCACACUCGCACCGGGAGCGCGGCGCGUCCACAGCCGUUAAACACCCCAAACUUCUGAAGCG
rnacentral:misc_RNA from 1 species